rnacentral:lncRNA from 1 species
CAGCAUUCAAGCACCUAAUAAGUUAUUUUUGAAGAGCACCACCAUUCUUUGUUCUCCUAUGAGAAGUAGCACCAAAGUCAGUAGUAACACCAUAACUAUAUGUUCCUUUAUUCAUACUAUCCAAAACCCAAUCACUACUAGCUUUAACACCAGUUCUUGCCUAUUCAGAAAGUUCAAAUUUAAAACCAUUUACACUUUUGUCCCUAACAGCAAUAGCAGCCACUUGUGCCACUGUUAAAGUUUCACCACCAAGUUUUACCAUUGGUUUUCUAAAUUCAUUCACCAUUUUUUCACUUAAUCCAAAUGACUCCCUCUUAAAGAUAAAGAAUAGAAUUUGUGAUACUGACUGAUUAGUCCCGGGGUGUCUGUCAUGCCCAAACUCCGGUAAGUAGAUCCACCUAUAUGAAAAAACUCAAACCAACACUAGGUGAGACAAAAACACUCCCUAUUAGACACAUGCAAGACAUGGCUGCGAUUAUUUUUCUAAAAUUGACCUAUGGGGCGAAAAAAGCAAGAUUUGGCUAAGACCCCCCGAAGCCAAGAACAUAAAAUCUACUAGGAAGACCGGGCCCGGUGUGGAUUGCCUACGUAUCAUGCCCCCAAAGACGAGAAUACAUCCAAAUGACUCCCUCUUAAAGAUUAAAGAAAUUGUGAUCCUGACUGACUAGUGCCAGUGUGUCUGUCAUGCCCAAACUCCGGUAAGUAAAUCCACCUGUAUGAAAAAACUCAAACCAACACUAGGUGAGACAAACACGCUCCCUAUUAGACACAUACAAGACAUGGCUGCGAUUAUUUUUCUAAAAUUGACCUACGGGGCUAAAAAUGCAAGAUUUGGCUAAGACCCCGCGAAGCCGAGAACCUAAAAUCUACUAGGAAGACCGGACCUUAUGUGGGUUGCCUGCGUAUCCCGCCCCGAAAGACGAGAAUCAGGUUCGUGUAGUUCGGACCGAUUGGAUACGGACGAGAAUUAAAAGAAAAACAACUAAUCUAGAGAAAAUAUAUAUUUUCUUUUUCCUUAAAGAAAAUGAUGAAACAUUCCAAAUCUUUUUGGAUUUUCCUUUUUCUUGUAAUUGAUUUUCAAAAAAUGAUAAAAAGGGCAAAAUCUUUUGAAUUUCUCAUGCUUUUUAUUAAUUAAAAAUAAUAAUAAUAAUAAAACAUAACUAGGCCCUCAUUGCUUUAUUUUCACACUUCACCCUCUUUUUUCUUUUUCCUUUUUUUUUUCUUUUUUCCUUUUUCAUUUUCAUUUGCCCUCAACUAUCCUUGGUCCACCAAAUGACCCUUUUACCCUUAAAAUAAAUGCAACACGUAGCACAUAUGAUACAUCAAGAUGGUCUGUUUAUUUCAGGUAGCUUGUCCUAGACGGACCCAACCCUUGUGUUGAGUCCCAUAAGCCAAAUGCCAUGAUGCAAAUAAGCGUUCCUAUUAAGGAUCUGACAUGAAGUCAUGUUAUUCUAGGUUCAAAACCUAGGUCGAUGUUUUAGACUGUGUACCCGAGCGAACAACUCGAGUCGAGGAGGGGGCAACUUUCCGAAAACUAAAGGCCAUCCGGCUUAGUAACUUGUCCGGCCUCUUUAUUAUGUCAGGGUAUGACACUAACAGACCAAGGAGGUGAGAAGAGAAGGGUGUCGGCACAUUUCAUAUACAAUUCAGAUAAUAUCAAAGAGGUAACAUUUAGCGCAUUCGGCACAAAACAUGUAGGAAAAUCGGAUAUAACCAAAUACAACAAUUUAUCUAAGCUCGAAUUCUGAAUCCUGAACAAAACAUUCUGUAUUGUUGUCCCUAGCAGAGUCGCCAGAACUGUCACGCCUUCUUUUUCACUAAACCUGCAAGGGCAUAAAGGAGUUUUUCCACUUAAAGAACAAUCGGAACGGGAUUUAAUUAUUAAGAUUUCAGAGUCGCCACUUGGGAGAUUAAUGGUGUCCCAAGUCAACGGUUGAAUCCCAAACCGAGGAAAAAUAUUGACUCAGUUAACAGUCCGCGAACCAGAAAUCCGGGUAAGGAAUUCUGUUAAUCAGGGAGAAUGUGUUAGGCAUUCCCGAGUUCUUGGUUCUACCACGGUCGCUUAACUAUUAUAUUUGAUUUUAUCUAAUUUCAAAACAUAUUUUAGCUUAUGUGCUUUUCAACCUUAGAAAGCUUUUAUAUUUAUUUUUAAUGAGAAUUGAAACGUCGUGAAAAUACAUCUCCAACCAUGUCACAUCAAUGCGCCCGCGGUUGUUGACAUAUUUCAACUUCGUUGGGAUUUGGAUUUGGGUCACAUAAAUGUGAACCCGAGAUUAAGAAGGUAAAUUAUUAAAAAUGCGCCUAAAGUGUCUAACGCGUUAUUAUCUUUGGGGGAGGGCUGUGAAAUUUUCUAAACAGCCCGUCCCGAUUCUAAUUUCAAAGGAUUGUACUCAACUAAAGCAAACUACGAGAUUUCAACAUCAAAUUAUCACUUUCUCGUCCUAACUCUCAACUCACCGCCCAUUGUCACCUAAAUCAAACAGCUAGCACCAAAACAUCUUCCUAUACAUCCAAUUAUUGGUAACAAAUUAACAACAAUGAGUAGAGAAGAAUAACUCAAAUAACAACAUUAAAAUUGCUACACAUAUUGCACACACAACCAAAGAUCUAGCUAACUACCAAAAUUCAUAAAAUUUAUAUCCUAAGUGCCUAUGAUCAUGCUGUAACGGGGUAAAAGCAACGGUACACAAAUGCCUUUCAUCAAGCAAAACCACAGUAACCUGCAAUUGAUAUCACUUUAAGCAUAACACUACAUCUACAAGCUCAAUAAUGCAUAGAUCUUAGCAAGACGGACUUGAGAUAAUCGUUUCCUUUCAAGCUUAAUUUCAACCAGAUGCGCUACUGAUCAUAAUUAGUGCAACAAUCAGAUUUUAGCCAUAAACAUGCGGCAAGCAAAUCUACACUCGAAUACAACUUUAAACAUGGACGCUUGAAUCAAGACAUAAUAACUUUCACCAAAAUACUACUUCUAAGUUUAUUCGGCUAUUGGAAUCAGACAACAAAUUCGAAAAAAGACUAGUAUUCUCUUUCCACAUAGACCGAAGACGUAAACAAUUCAAUCUAUUUAAACCCCGGCUCUCAUUAUCAGUUAAUCAUACCUUCAGC